CCUUAUUAUUUGUCGAAUUUAAAUUGGAUUCAUCAAUAACAGCCAAAUUAGGUUGAAUUCUAUAUAGCUUUCGUUUUAAUCUCAGAAAAAAUGUUCAGUGAGUUUUGUGAUGAUGAAAUGUUUGGAGAGAAUCUUUCUUGGUCAGCUAGGUCUUCCUGCUCCAACAACAUGGCUGACGCAGCCAAGUUGUAACUGAGACUGUCUGGUGGAUUUUGGUUACGUUGUUUGCUGGCGGUAUCGUUAUACGAGGCAUAGCUAAUGUCCACGGGAUUGUAAUCGUGAAUAUCCUGCGGGUAUGUGUUAUGUUCCUUUCUGAGAAUAUACUCUUUGGCAAAGGAUAACUGAAAUCAAUGGAUCGCUUUAACAUGUGUGUUGAGUUUACCAUACAACUCAACGGCUUCUUAGCAGCAGGGACGAGGAGAAGGCUGAUAUACGCAAACAUCCAUCCACAUAAGCCAAUGAAGAGUACCGUUUUCUUUGCAUUGAACCUGUCGGCGACAAAUGCCCAAAAUACUGCAGUAAUAGAUUGUGUGAUUGGUCCCAAGCCAAUUAACAGUCCGGCUUGUGUAGGUGACAGCCACAAAUGUUUGAAAUAAAGUGGAAUGAAAGGAAGAAGGGAUGCGAUUGCACCAUAGAAGAAGUAAUAGAAAGCUUUAAAUGGCAACAAAGUACAUUUAUUUGUAAGCAACGUGAUGGCUUCUCUUCGCUGUCUUUCCUGUUCACAGAUUCAUACAAAGGUGGUAGUUCCUGAUCAGAGGAUUUUAUGUGUGAUCAACUUUUGCUUCAAUGAUGAGAGACUAUC